rnacentral:rRNA from 1 species
CCUACGGGUGGCACCAGUGAGGAAUAUUGGUCAAUGGACGCAAGUCUGAACCAGCCACGUCGCGUGAAGGAAGACGGCCCUACGGGUUGUAAACUUCUUUUGUAAGGGAAUAAAGUGAGUCACGCGUGACUUUUUGCAUGUACCUUACGAAUAAGGAUCGGCUAACUCCGUGCCAGCAGCCGCGGUAAUACGGAGGAUCCGAGCGUUAUCCGGAUUUAUUGGGUUUAAAGGGUGCGCAGGCGGGAGAUUAAGUCGGCGGUGAAAUUUUGCAGCUCAACUGUAAAAGUGCCUUCGAAACUGGUUUUCUUGAGUAUGGAUGAAGUAGGCGGAAUUUGUGGUGUAGCGGUGAAAUGCAUAGAUAUCACGAGGAACUCCGAUUGCGCAGGCAGCUUACUAAGCCAUAACUGACGCUCAUGCACGAAGGCGUGGGGAUCAAACAGGAUUAGAUACCCUAGUAGUC